rnacentral:rRNA from 1 species
AUUGAACGCUGGCGGCAGGCCUAACACAUGCAAGUCGAACGAGUGGCGGACGGGUGAGGAAUGUCUGGGAAACUGCCUGAUGGAGGGGGAUAACUACUGGAAACGGUAGCUAAUACCGCAUACCAUCGGAUGUGCCCAGAUGGGAUUAGCUUGUAGGUUAGGUAACGGCUCACCUAGGCGACGAUCCCUAGCUGCUCAGAGAGGAUGACAAGCAACACUGGUACUGCGUCAAGGUCCAGACUCCUACGGGAGGCAGCAGUGGGUAAUAUUGCACAAGGUGUGCAAGCCUGAAGCAGCCAUUCCGCGUGAGUGAAGAAGGCCUUCUGGUUGUAAAGUUCUUUCAGCGGGGCGGCGUUACCCGCAGACGAAGCACCGGCUAACUCCGUGCCAGCCGCCGCGGUAAUUC